GUGUGAUUUGCAAAUGAGUUGACAGUCUUUUUUGCUUUGCUCACACAAAUAGUGUUUAAAUCUCAUACCAGUGUUGAUUAAAUGUCGAAAAUAUAUGAGAAGUAUUCUGACGGCGACUCUGCUGGAAUACUUCAUUCCCAGUUCUCUCCUCAGGAACAAGUGAUGAAGUUCCUGACUGAGAAGGAGGAGGAGGAGGCGUGGAAGGACUUCUUUGACUCUCAUCUCCAGGAGAAGCUCUGUGAGGAGAGAAGAUGGACGGAGAAGAAGUUCAGCAACCGGAAGAGGGAGGUGGAGAGCUGGAUCGUUGAGAUACAGCAGGAGUGGAGAUGGAGGGAGAAGGCUCAGAGGGACAUGGUGUUCAAGCUGCUGAUUAUGGACCUUCCUCAGAGGAGGAGAGUCAUUGAGAACCUCCGAGAGACGGACGACCCCGCCAGCGAUCAGCUGGAGAGAGAGAUGGACGGAGAGGACAGGAGGACGGAAAACAUUGGGAUGAUAAAGAGGAGUGAAGAGGGAGAUGGAAGGAGAGGAAAAGAGGUGGAGGAGAUGAAUGAGGGGUGCCGCCGCUGCCAAGGGGACGGAGCGAGAGGGAAGGAGAGAAACCAGAGCCGUGGUGAGAGGAAGGAGGAAGAGAAAAGAUACCAGAUGCUUGUGGAAAUGCAGCGUAUCCGUUCCCACGAAGAGAAAAGAGAAAGGGAAACCUUCCUGAGAAACAAGGAGAGGGAGGAAAAGAAAAGGGAGGAGGAGGAGAGAACGAGAGAGAGGGCACAUCUGGCCAAGCAAAAAAGGGAUGCGGACAGAAGGGAGAGAGAGGUGCACAGGAUGGAGAGGGAGAUAGUGGAGAAGAGAAAGGAGGUUGAUCACAGAGUGAUGUCUGUGAACAGGAAGGUGUUCUCUCUCAGGUCCGAGGCUGAACAAAUCAGGAAGGAGAGAAAGUCACUAAGGAUGUUUCAGAGCAAGCUAGAGAACCUGGGACCAAAUAUGGAAGGCCAGAGCAGGGCUCAGAACCAGGGACUAAAUAUGGAAGUCCAGAGCAGGGCUCAGAACCAGGGACUAAAUAUGGAAGUCCAGAGCAGGGCUCAGAACCAGGAACUAAAUAUGGAAGUCCAGAGCAGGGCUCAGAACCAGGGACUAAAUAUGGAAGUCCAGAGCAGGGUUCAGAACCAGGAACUAAAUAUGGAAGUCCAGAGCAGGGUUCAGAACCAGGGACUAAAUAUGGAAGUCCAGAGCAGGGCUCAGAACCAGGUAGUGAGAAUGGAAACUCAGAGCGAGAACCAGGAAGGGAAGAGAAGUGUUAAGCAGAGCGCUGAUCAAGGCAGACAGAAAUGCUCUGUGAAAGCAGACGAGGAGAAAACACGGCAUGACAUUCGAAGAGAGGAAGAAAAGAGGAAAAUCGAGGAGGGGGACAAGAAGGACGAGAUACUGAGUGUGUGAGAUUCGGUGAGAGAGAAGAGAAGGGACAGAGAGAGGAGGAGAGGAAGAGUCGAGAAACUGGGAUUGAUGGUAACAUUGAAAGUGAGGCAGUUGGUUUGAUGGAAGACAACAGAACGAUGCCUGAAGACGGUGUCGGACGGAUUGAGACAGAAAAGGAAAGGAGGAGUGAGAAGGCUGUGAGGGCAGAGGAAAAGGAGGCGUCUGAGGAGAGGGAAAUAAAGUUGGAGAAGAAGAGGAAAAUAGAGGCUAAGCGAGUGAUAGAGGAGGAGGAGAAGAAGUCUGAGGGUGAACAGAGUGAGAAAAAGACAAACGAGACAAAGCAAGAAAAGCAGACUUCCACAGAGACAGAACUGAGUGACUGGGAUGAGGACAGUGAGGAGGAAGAGAUUGGGGCGGUGAAAUUGGAGAUGAAACAGAAGAGCGAGGUCGUGAAGAAGAGGUCUGAGGGUGAACAGAGUGAGAAAAAGACAAAAGAGACAAAGCAAGAAAAGCAGACUUCAACAGAGACAGAACUGAGUGACUGGGAUGAGGACAGUGAGGAGGAAGAGAUUGUGUCGGGGAAAUUGACGAAGAAGAAACAGAAAGAGCUGGAAGAGAGGAAGAAGGAGGAGGAAAGGGUGAGAAAGGAGGAGAAGAAGAAGGAAGAAGAGCGCCUGAUGAAUAGGGAGGAGGACAAGAGGAAAGAGGAGGAGAAGAAGCUACUAGAACAGGUGAGCCUGAAAGUCCUGCAGGAAUCCUGGAAGAAGGCUAAAGGGGAGGACAGGAAGAGAUCUGAGGCACCCAAAAUGGAAGCAGAACAGCAGCGCCAGUGGGCAGUUUUUUUCAGUGAUUUGAGGGAGGAGGAGGAGGAGAACAGGAGGAAGGUGUUCGCUGUCCAGGGGGGAAACCAGAUGUUUCAUAAAAAUCAAGUUGUCAAGAGGACAACACACCAGGACCCAGGAAAUGAGUCAGCAAUAUCGGUGAGUUCAUCUGAGGACACUGGCUCUGAGUGGGAGCGGCAGUGGGAGGAAGAGAAGAGGAGGGAGAAGGAGAGGAAGGAGGAGGAGGAGAAGAGGAAGAGACUGGAAGAUAAGAAGAGGGAGGAGAUGGCGAAGGAACGGGAGGAGCAGAAGAAUAGAGAGGCGGAGGCGAAGUGGCAGGCACGUCUGGUUCCGAAGAAAAAGAAAGGUGUAUUUAAGUCAUUCUUCAACAUUUUCAUGUAAAUGAAAACAUGACAUAUUUUCAUCAUUUGAAUCAAGCGUUUAUCAAAUGGAAUAAAAAC
rnacentral:lncRNA from 1 species